AAAAUGCACCAUAAAUAGCUAAUAGAAUGAUUUAGAAAGGAACAAUAUGUUAUUCAUUUUAUGUUUCAAGGACAGCUAACAGCCUAAUUUUUUUUUUCCUUUUCUAUUCCUCCACAAUCAAGGCCUAUUUUCUAUUUCAGGAAACAGAACUAUGUCAGUGUCGAACUCACCAAAUUUUCAAUUUCUACUCAUACAUUUUACACAUAGGUUUAUAGUCCCACCCUAAAUCCAGAAUUUUCAUAUGGCCCUUAAAAUUUU
rnacentral:misc_RNA from 1 species